UGGUGAGUGAAACAGCUGUGGUUAAACGACAAAAGACAGAAGAAGUGAAAUACAUGUAUCAAAAACUACAAGGUGCUCCUGCUUCCUUUGACUGGAGAAAAAGGGGAGCAGUUCCACCAGUUACAAAUCAAGGCAGGGAUGCUACUGCAUAUGCAGUUAUAGACAGCUUAUAUGGUUACUUCAAAAUCAAUACUGGCCAUGCGGUUGCCCUGAGUGUCCAAGAGACUUCUGACUGUUGCACAAGAGGACACCCAAUGGGGAAUCCCUUUGCUUGCAUUAAGAAGCUGGGUGGACUAUGCUCAGAGGCAGACGUACUAUCCUUAUAAUGCUUCUAGUGGAGUAUGUCACAGCUCUUCUUGCCACCCUGCUGCACAGAUCAAAGGAUCAAGAUCAGUUUUGCGAGGCAAUGAGACAGACCUUCUGCUUGCUGUUCUUCAAAAUCCUGUGGUGGUGAUGGUUGAUGCUAACCAUGCUUCAUUCAUGCUUUACAGGAGUGGGGUGUUUGUAGAGCCAGCAUGCAGUCGUAUACGAUUGGACCAUGCUCUCCUGUUGGUUGGGUAUGGGAGUAUGUCUGGGAAGGAUUACUGGAUCUGUAAGAACAACUGGGGAACAACUUGGGGAAUGGACGGUUAUAUCUUGAUAGCCAGAAAUGUAGGCAACAUGUGUGGGAUAGCCACAGCAGCCAGUCUGCCUAUUUACAGACAGUAGCAGAGUCCCGUUUCAGAAUGUUUUAACAUUAAAAAUAGAAACCAUCUUCAGAAAACCUGCUUUGAAUCUUAGCCAACUGAGUAGCGCUUCACAAUGAAUAUUGCAGCCAUGUUACUUCAAUUUUAGUUAUGCAACUAGCAAGCCUUUAUUAUCUUACACUGGUUUUACUGACAAUGGCCUUUUUAGAUAUAUUGACUACAAUUAUUGUUAGCACAUCUUUUCAGCAGCCUUAUUUGAUAAAUUGUCCAACUCAAUGUUGUUGACUGUUAAAGUUUGUCAGUCUUUGCCAAGCUCAAAAACUUCAAUACU